CAUGAAGUUGGAAUUGCUAGUAAUCGCGGAUCAGCAUGCCGCGGUGAAUACGUUCCCGGGGAUUGUACACACCGCCCGUCACACCAUGAGAGUCGGGAACACCCAAAGUCCGUAGUCUAACCGCAAGGAGGGCGCGGCCUAAGGUGGGUUCGAUAAUUGGGGUGAAGUCGUAACAAGGUACC
rnacentral:rRNA from 1 species